GACCUUUGAAUUGGAGCGAGGAAGGAGAAGACAGAGGAGAUAAAAUGGAAUUAGCCGUUAAAACCCUUUUCUUGGGAGUAAACCCCAAGUUAAUAAAUUACAAACAUACACUAGAUGUUGCCUUUCCAAAUCUUUCUUGCAAAUCAGCAACCGUUUCCCAUCAAACAAGAGACAUCUCUCAAGGAUAUCGUGUUAGGUUAAGGGAAAACCACAGAUGCUUUACUCCUGUUUCUGCUGUACUAUCAGGUGCGCAAGAUGUUGAAGUGUCUUCUUCUCAAUUUGAAGAAUUCUCAGUAAAAGUUUCAAGUACCAAUGAAGCUGGAGAACUAAGGAUCAGCAUAGAGGUAUCUAGUGCCAGAACUAGAGAAAUAUUUGACAAUGUGUUUGACAAAAUGGUUUCUGCCGCUCAGCCAAUUCCUGGCUUCCGAAGGGUGAAAGGAGGAAAGACACCAGAUAUACCUAGAGACAUUUUGUUAGAAGUCCUUGGACCUUCAAAAGUUUACAAGGAAGUGAUCAAGAAAGUUAUUAACUCUACUGUAGCUGAGUAUGUUGAAAAGGUAAUCAGGAUCAGAUCUGUUCAGGAAUUCAGAUUUUUUUUCUUUUUUAGUUUCUUCUCUCACAAAUCAUCUAGAAAGUGCUUCCUUAAAUAUUUAAUACUGUUAGCAUCAUUUUUUCUUGCUUAUAACAAUAUUGGGUACCUAGCUAUUGUAGAGUUCAAUUUUUUGGAUAUAAUGUAUACAAGCUUAACAAGAGUCAUUUGAAAAAGGGCUAAUGACCAAAACAAGAAAAUUUCAAAACUAAUGUGUUUCUCUCAAUUGUGGCCUCUUCUACUAAAAUUAUCAGUAGUGGCCAUAAUAUGCGUGGGCUUUCUCUUAAAGACAUGUGCUUGUGAUGUCAUGGAAGCCGAUUGGAAGGUAAGCUGGACCCUUUUUUUUUAUAAAUAAAAAAAAAAUCUUUUUAGUGCUGACUGUAUUUCCUGUUGUGUUGUAAUGCUAAAUUUAAACUAAGAGGCAAGGAAAAAAGGGAACAAAAUCACUAUGAAAUUCAGAUUAUUAAAAUAUGCAGGAAAAUAUUUUUAAAAUCCUAGUGUGCUUGAUUUUGUUAAAAUAAUCAAUACAAGUUCACUACAUCAUCGAUAUUUUGUGGUUUAGAGAAAGAAAGAAGAGGGUGGUUACAAGGACACAUUGUUGAACUUAAAUGUGUCGUCUUUGCAUGAAACAGUAGAAUUGAUAAGAUGUUUUACGCAUCGCAAGUGGCUGGCCAAUAAUAUUUACUUUCACCUGUGCCCCUAGACAUGUUUUGGUGUUACAGUGGACAUUUCUUUGACCCAUUCCUUUGAUAUCCAUUUUCCGGAAUUACAUUACAGCUUUGCAGUCAUUUACAAAGUUUCAUUUUUUUGGUACAACGAAAAAUUGAAGCCUAAGAUGUGAUAAUAUCAUGUCAUUGUUUCAUUCACUGAUGAAUUGUGCACAAAGGGCAACAUUUGAGUAACAUAGUCUGGUCAAAGGAUGCUGCCUUUUCUCUGUAAAAAUAAGUUUGUUUUUUUUUAUCUAUAUUAAAUUAAUGAGUUUGCAACAAAUGACUUCUCUGAGUUAUGU
rnacentral:misc_RNA from 1 species